rnacentral:rRNA from 1 species
GAUGAACGCUGGCGGCGUGCCUAAUACAUGCAAGUAGGACGCUGAAGGAAGGAGCUUGCUCUUUCCGGAUGAGUGGCGGACGGGUGAGUAACGCGUAGGUAACCUGCCUGGUAGCGGGGGAUAACUAUGGGAAACGAGAGCUAAUACCGCAUAACAGUAGAUGUUGCAUGAUAUCUACUUAAAAGGUGCAAUUGCACCACUACCAGAUGGACCUGCGUUGUAUUAGCUAGUUGGUGAGGUAACGGCUCACCAAGGCGAAGAUACAGAGCCGACCUGAGAGGGUGGUCCGCCCAACUGGGAAUGGGAACCCGCCCCAGACCCUUCGGGAGGCAGCAGGAGGGGAUCUUCGGCCAUUGACGGAAGUCUGACCGAGCCACGCCGCGGGAGUGGAGAAGGGUUUCGGAUCGUAAAGCUCUGUUGUUAGGGGAGAACCAGUGUUGGAGUUGACUGUUCACACUGUGACGGUACCUUACCAGAAAGCCACGGCUAACUACGUG